rnacentral:rRNA from 1 species
CCCGUCCUACGGGACGCAGCAGUGGGGAAUAUUGCACAAUGGGGGAAACCCUGAUGCAGCGACGCCGCGUGAGUGAGGAAGUAUUUCGGUAUGUAAAGCUCUAUCAGCAGGGAAGAAAAUGACGGUACAUGACUAAGAAGCCCCGGCUAACUACGUGCCAGCAGCCGCGGUAAUACGUAGGGGGAAAGCGUUAUCCGGAUUUACUGGGUGUAAAGGGAGCGUAGACGGCAUUGCAAGUCUGAUGUGAAAGAUUGGGGCUCAACCUCAGGCCUGCCUUGGCAACUGUAAAGAUGGAGUACCGGAGG